rnacentral:rRNA from 1 species
UACGUAGGGGGCAAGCGUGGUCCGGAUUUAUUGGGCGUAAAGAGCGUGUAGGCGGCCAGACAGGUCUGCUGUGAAAACUCGAGGCUCAACCUCGAGACGCCGGUGGAAACCGUCUGGCUAGAGUCCGGAAGAGGAGAGUGGAAUUCCUGGUGUAGCGGUGAAAUGCGCAGAUAUCAGGAAGAACACCCGUGGCUAAGGCGGCUCUCUAGUACGGUACUGACGCUGAGACGCGAAAGCGUGGGGAGCGAACAGG